AGUGAACGCUGGCGGUAGGCCUAACACAUGCAAGUCGAACGGCAGCACAGUAAGAGCUUGCUCUUACGGGUGGCGAGUGGCGGACGGGUGCGGAAUACAUCGGAAUCUACUUUUUCGUGGGGGAUAACGUAGGGAAACUUACGCUAAUACCGCAUACGACCUACGGGUGAAAGCAGGGGAUCUUCGGACCUUGCGCGAUUGAAUGAGCCGAUGUCGGAUUAGCUAGUUGGCGGGGUAAAGGCCCACCAAGGCGACGAUCCGUAGCUGGUCUGAGAGGAUGAUCAGCCACACUGGAACUGAGACACGGUCCACACUCCUACGGGAGGCAGCAGUGGGGAAUAUUGGACAAUGGGCGCAAGCCUGAUCCAGCCAUACCGCGUGGGUGAAGAAGGCCUUCGGGUUGUAAAGCCCUUUUGUUGGGAAAGAAAAGCAGCAGGUUAAUACCCCGCUGUUCUGACGGUACCCAAAGAAUAAGCACCGGCUAACUUCGUG
rnacentral:rRNA from 1 species